rnacentral:lncRNA from 1 species
UUUCCUAUUAUUUGGCCAUUUCUGUUAUUUCUUUUGUAAAUUCCUUUUAUUGCAAACCUGCUCUUAAAGGGUCCUCAAGGUCCUCGUGGUGACAAAGGUGAAACUGGUGAACGAGGCAGCAGUGGCAUAAAGGGUCAUAGAGGAUUUCCUGGUAGCCCAGGUCUCCCUGGUCCUCCUGGUCCCCUGGGUCCACAAGGUGCAAUUGGAAGUCCAGGAGCUUCAGGCGCAAGGGGUCCCCCAGGACCAGCUGGGCCACCUGGAAAAGAUGGUACAAGCGGCUAUCCAGGUCCAAUUGGUCCUCCUGGCCCCCGUGGUACCAGAGGUGAAAGUGGCCCCGCAGGUCCACCAGGCCAGCCUGGUCUUCCUGGCCCUUCUGGUCCUCCUGGUCCAUGUUGUGGUGGUGGUGUGGCUGCCCUGGGUGCUGGUGAGAAAGGCCCAGUGGGCUAUGGGUAUGAAUAUCGAGAUGAGCCAAAAGAAAAUGAUAUCAGUC